rnacentral:rRNA from 1 species
AGGCCUAUCAGUAUCCUGAGUAGGGCGGGACACGUGAAAUCCCGUUUGAAUCCGCGAGGACCAUCUCGCAAGGCUAAAUACUAACCAGUGACCGAUAGUGAACCAGUACCGUGAGGGAAAGGUGAAAAGAACCCCGGGAGGGGAGUGAAAGAGAACCUGAAACCGUGUGCCUACAAGUAGUCAGAGCCCGUUAACGGGUAAUGGCGUGCCUUUUGUAGAAUGAACCGGCGAGUUGCGUUAGUCAGCAAGGUUAAGUCAGAAAA